AGUGAACGCUGGCGGCGUGCCUAACACAUGCAAGUCGAACGAUGAUGGAGGAGCUUGCUCUUCCUGAUUAGUGGCGCACGGGUGAGUAUACCAUAGAUAAUGUACCCCUUAGUUCGGGAUAGCCACUGGAAACGGUGAUUAAUACCGGAUACUCCUUCUCGUUAUAAGACGAGUCGGGAAAGUUUUUUCGCUAAGGGAUCAGUCUAUGUCCUAUCAGCUAGUUGGUGAGGUAAUGGCUCACCAAGGCUAUGACGGGUAUCUGGUUUGAGAGGAUGAUCAGACACACUGGAACUGAGACACGGUCCAGACUCCUACGGGAGGCAGCAGUGAGGAAUAUUGCACAAUGGAGGAAACUCUGAUGCAGCAACGCCGCGUGGAGGAUGACGCAUUUCGGUGUGUAAACUCCUUUUAAGAGGGAAGAUUAUGACGGUACCUCUUGAAUAAGCACCGGCUAACUCCGUGCCAGCCGCCGCAGUAA
rnacentral:rRNA from 1 species